rnacentral:rRNA from 1 species
CCUACGGGAGGCAGCAGUGAGGAAUAUUGGUCAAUGGGCGCGAGCCUGAACCAGCCAAGUCGCGUGAAGGAUGACUGCCCUACGGGUUGUAAACUUCUUUUGUCAAGGAGUAAAGUGAGGCACGCGUGCCCUUUCUGUAUGUACUUUAUGAAUAAGAAUCGGCUAACUCCGUCCCAGCAGCCGCGGUAAUACGGAGGAGCCGAGCGUUAUCCGGAUUUAUUGGGUUUAAAGGGAGCGUAGAUGGGUUGUUAAGGCAGUUGUGAAAGUUUGCGGCUCAACCGUAAAAUUGCAAUUGAUACUGGGAGUCUUGAGUACAGUAGAGGUAGGCGGAAUUCGUGGUGUAGCGGUGAAAUGCUUAGAUAUCACGAAGAACUCCGAUUGCGAAGGCAGCUUACUAAACGGCCACUGACAUUGAUGCUCGAAAGUGUGGGUAUCAAACAGGAUUAGAUACCCUAGUAGUC